rnacentral:rRNA from 1 species
GGCUCACCUAGGCGACGAUCCCUAGCUGGUCUGAGAGGAUGACCAGCCACACUGGAACUGAGACACGGUCCAGACUCCUACGGGAGGCAGCAGUGGGGAAUAUUGCACAAUGGGCGCAAGCCUGAUGCAGCCAUGCCGCGUGUAUGAAGAAGGCCUUCGGGUUGUAAAGUACUUUCAGCGGGGAGGAAGGCGAUAAGGUUAAUAACCUUGUCGAUUGACGUUACCCGCAGAAGAAGCACCGGCUAACUCCGUGCCAGCAGCCGCGGUAAUACGGAGGGUGCAAGCGUUAAUCGGAAUUACUGGGCGUAAAGCGCACGCAGGCGGUCUGUCAAGUCGGAUGUGAAAUCCCCGGGCUCAACCUGGGA